GACGAACCGUGCGAACGUUGUUCGGAAUCACUGGGCUUAAAGGGCGCGUAGGCGGGCUGCCAAGUCUGGGGUGAAAUCCCACGGCUCAACCGUGGAACUGCCUCAGAUACUGGCGGCCUCGAGGGAGGUAGGGGCAUGCGGAACUAUGCGUGGAGCGGUGAAAUGCGUUGAUAUGCAUAGGAACUCCGGUGGCGAAGGCGGCGUGCUGGACCUCUUCUGACGCUGAGGCGCGAAAGCCAGGGAGCAACGGG
rnacentral:rRNA from 1 species